UCGGAAUGUCAUAUUCUUAGAAAAAUAGUUUAUCCAGGAUGGUGGCAGUAGGAGGUUAGUUGAGCUCGAAAAGAAUAUCUCUGAAGAGCAAAGAGCUAUAGAUCCUCAGAAAUUCAUUGUCCAUGAGCCAGUAGUUGAUGUUCCUCUACCACCUUGUAGAUCUAGCAGGGUCUCCCGACCUUCUGAAAGGUACAUGGAUAUGCUUACAGAUGA
rnacentral:lncRNA from 1 species